rnacentral:rRNA from 1 species
GCUGGCGGCAGGCCUAACACAUGCAAGUCGAGCGGUAGAGAGGAGCUUGCUUCUCUUGAGAGCGGCGGACGGGUGAGUAAUGCCUAGGAAUCUGCCUGGUAGUGGGGGAUAACGUUCGGAAACGGACGCUAAUACCGCAUACGUCCUACGGGAGAAAGCAGGGGACCUUCGGGCCUUGCGCUAUCAGAUGAGCCUAGGUCGGAUUAGCUAGUUGGUGGGGUAAUGGCUCACCAAGGCGACGAUCCGUAACUGGUCUGAGAGGAUGAUCAGUCACACUGGAACUGAGACACGGUCCAGACUCCUACGGGAGGCAGCAGUGGGGAAUAUUGGACAAUGGGCGAAAGCCUGAUCCAGCCAUGCCGCGUGUGUGAAGAAGGUCUUCGGAUUGUAAAGCACUUUAAGUUGGGAGGAAGGGUUGUAGAUUAAUACUCUGCAAUUUUGACGUUACCGACAGAAUAAGCACCGGCUAACUCUGUGCCAGCAGCCGCGGUAAUACAGAGGGUGCAAGCGUUAAUCGGAAUUACUGGGCGUAAAGCGCGCGUAGGUGGUUAGUUAAGUUGGAUGUGAAAUCUCCGGGCUCAACCUGGGAACUGCAUUCAAAACUGACUGACUAGAGUAUGGUAGAGGGUGGUGGAAUUUCCUGUGUAGCGGUGAAAUGCGUAGAUAUAGGAAGGAACACCAGUGGCGAAGGCGACCACCUGGACUGAUACUGACACUGAGGUGCGAAAGCGUGGGGAGCAAAC